CCAUUACCUUGCAAUCGACAAUGCUAGUGAUAGCGGUAGCAGUAACAGUCAAAGUGUUUUGGAUACAUUGACAGCAGUUUCAGUGGAUUGAAUGCAUGUUGAAAAAGCAGAACUAAUCAAUGAAGUGAAAUAGCAGUGCCGUAGACCACGAGAAAUGGGGGGUGACACGCGGGCGGUGUCUCUGUGGGCUUUUGUCCUGGGCUCUGUCCUCUCUGGUCUGGGAGUCAUCAUGGCCGUCACAUUCCUCAUCUUUAAUAUAAAGUUCAGAAAUAUGAGGAUAGUCAAGAUGUCGAGCCCCAAUAUCAACAUGUUGAUCACUGUGGCCGGGUUAUUUCUGUACACAUGUUGCGUACUGUACGGUCUAGAUCAUUUCACCGUGGAUAAACCUGGACAGGCCACCGUCUUAUGUCAGGUGAGUUUUAGUCAGCAGUGUUCACAUCGAGUCUAUCUUACACUUGUCCAAUGAUACGUUUUGUGCUUUAAGGGGACAGCUAACUUGUACCUCGGUUUACAAGUCUAAUUUUGCGAUCUAACAAAACAAUCGUUAAAGCUAAGGUUGACUUUCUAUCAUGUACAGAAGUCAUCGAGUUUCAUAUUUCUGAUGAAAGGAAUGAAGGAGAAACGACCACAGAAAUGGGGAAGACGGGCUUUGGUGUGAAAUAACCCGUGACGAUUCUUCCUUUGAAGACGGUGAUUAGUUUUGUUGUUAUGUCAGCUCUUCAAUUUUCCGAUUUCAUUAUGGUGACGUGACCCACCUCCGCACCCGCACAAUGCGUUUUUACAGGGGUAGGUGAUGGCCGCUCGCGGUCAGCUGCCAUUUGAUACCCUUUGGAACAAUACGCCGUUGAUUGCACUUUGACCGUUAUUCAGAUAAUUGAAGGCAUACAAGUUUUAAUCUGAAACGCCUGCAAGAGGGUGGGUAUAGGGGUUAGUGGUGGAUAGCCAACCUAUUUUAAGCAGAAUCUCCCCCAUAGAUUUUAUUUCUUAAAUCUUGUUUGGACUGAGGUCCAGAGCUCUGUCUGCCGCAUGUUGGAUUGAAUACAUUGAUGUAAUUUUGUCACUAAUAAAAACAGCGUAGACAUGAGAAAUGAAAAAAAAACGUCGUCGACUUACCGCAGUCUG